CGAGCGGAAAGGCUCUUUCGGGGGUACUCGAGCGGCGAACGGGUGAGUAACACGUGAGUAAUCUGCCCUGCGCUCUGGGAUAGCCACCGGAAACGGUGAUUAAUACCGGAUAUGACAUGUCCCUGCAUGGGGGUGUGUGGAAAGUUUUUUCGGCGCAGGAUGUGCUCGCGGCCUAUCAGCUUGUUGGUGAGGUAAUGGCUCACCAAGGCUUUGACGGGUAACCGGCCUGAGAGGGUGACCGGUCACACUGGGACUGAGACACGGCCCAGACUCCUACGGGAGGCAGCAGUGGGGAAUAUUGGACAAUGGGCGGAAGCCUGAUCCAGCAACGCCGCGUGAGGGAUGACGGCCUUCGGGUUGUAAACCUCUUUCAGUACCGACGAAGCGAAAGUGACGGUAGGUACAGAAGAAGGACCGGCCAACUACGUGCCAGCAGCCGCGGUAAUACGUAGGGUCCGAGCGUUGUCCGGAAUUAUUGGGCGUAAAGGGCUCGUAGGCGGUUUGUCGCGUCGGGAGUGAAAACCAUGGGCUUAACUCAUGGCUUGCUUUCGAUACGGGCAGA
rnacentral:rRNA from 1 species